GGUUAUAUGCUUGUCUCAAAGGCUAAGCCAUGCAUGUCUAAGUUCAAACAUACCUAAAAUGGUGAAACCGCGAACGGCUCAUUAUAACAGCUAUAAUGUACUUGAUCUUGAUUAUCCAACGUGGAUAACUGUGGUAAUUCUAGAGCUAAUACAUGCACCAAAGCUCCGACGUUUAUGGACGAGCGCAUCUAUUAGAUUAAAACCAAUCGGGUUGCUGUGGUGUCCUUUUGGUGCAACACACAAUCCGUUCAUUGGUGACUCUGAAUAGCUCAAGCUGAUCGCAUGGUCUUGCACCGGCGACGUAUCUAUCAAGUGUCUGCCUUAUCAACUUUCGAUGGUAGUUUAUGUGCCUACCAUGGUUGUAACGGGUAACGGAGAAUAAGGGUUCGACUCCGGAGAGGGAGCCUGAGAAACGGCUACCACAUCCAAGGAAGGCAGCAGGCGCGCAAAUUACCCACUCUCAGCAUGAGGAGGUAGUGACGAAAAAUAACGAGACCGUUCUCUUUGAGGCCGGUUAUCGGAAUGGGUACAAUUUAAACCCGUUAACGAGGAUCUAUGAGAGGGCAAGUCUGGUGCCAGCAGCCGCGGUAAUUCCAGCUCUCAAAGUGUAUAUCGUCAUUGCUGCGGUUAAAAAGCUCGUAGUUGGAUCUUCGCUUCAGGACCCGGUCCGCCCAUUGGACGAGAACUGGGCUCCGAAGCUCGUACAAUGCCGGUUUUCUCUGUGUUGCCUUUACCGGUCGCACAGGGUAGCCAGCAAGUUUACCUUGAAAAAAUUAGAGUGCUCAAUGCGGGCUAAUGCCUGAAUACUCAUGCAUGGAAUAAUGAAAUAGGAUCACGGUUCUAUUUUGUUGGUUUUCUGAACUGCGAUAAUGGUUAAGAGGGACAGACGGGGGCAUUCGUAUCGCUGCGUGAGAGGUGAAAUUCUUGGACCGUAGCGAGACGCCCGACUGCGAAAGCAUUUGCCAAGAAUGUCUUCAUUAAUCAAGAACGAAAGUCAGAGGUUCGAAGGCGAUCAGAUACCGCCCUAGUUCUGACCGUAAACGAUACCAACUAGCGUUCCGUCGGCGGUAAAUACGCCUUGACGGGCAGCUUCCCGGAAACGAAAGUUUUUCGGUUCCGGGGGAAGUAUGGUUGCAAAGCUGAAACUUAAAGAAAUUGACGGAAGGGCACCACCAGGAGUGGAGCCUGCGGCUUAAUUUGACUCAACACGGGAAAACUCACCUGGCCCGGACACCGUGAGGAUUGACAGAUUGAGAGCUCUUUCUUGAUUCGGUGGUUGGUGGUGCAUGGCCGUUCUUAGUUGGUGGAGUGAUUUGUCUGGUUUAUUCCGAUAACGAGCGAGACUCUAGCCUACUAAAUAGUUACUGGAUAAUUUAUGUCCAGAAAACUUCUUAGAGGGACAAGCGGUGCUUAGCCGCAUGAAGUUGAGCAAUAACAGGUCUGUGAUGCCCUUAGAUGUCCAGGGCUGCACGCGCGCUACACUGGAGGAAUCAGCGUGCUGUAACCAUUGCCGAAAGGCAUUGGUAACCCCUUGAAAAUCCUCCGUGAUCGGAAUCGGGAAUUGCAAUUAUUUCCCUUGAACGAGGAAUUCCUAGUAAAUGUGAGUCAUCAGCUCACGUUGAUUACGUCCCUGCCCUUUGUACACACCGCCCGUCGCUGCCCGGGACUGAGCCGUUUCGAGAAAAGCGGGGACCGCUAGUGUUUCGAUACUUCCUGAAGUGGAGAUUCACUGGUGGAAACCGCUUUAAUCGCAGUGGCUUGAACCGGGCAAAAGUCGUAACAAGGUUUCCGUAGGUGAACCUGCGGAAGGAUCA
rnacentral:rRNA from 1 species